ACUACUAAAUUUUAUUCAAAUAUUUAUUUCAAAAUUUUUGUGAAAAUUUAAGAAAACGGAAAUUAAUUUGUAAAUGAUGAGUAAUCCAAAGGCAAGGAUAUCCAAGGAGGAGAAAGCUUCUAUUCGCAUCUUAUUGGAGCAAUUUAAAACGGAAUUGAGAGCAGUGUUCGACGCAAAAAGGGAAUACAUUGAGAACUUCAAAUAUGAACUUCAAGAUUACUUUGACACUCACCUAAACUGCGACGUCAAUAACUCAGGUCAAAGUCAAGGCGAAGAUUCAACUGAUUUCAAGCGUAAGAAAAUGAUGUCCAUUUUAGGUGAAUGUAAGGACAUAUUAAUCGAUGAUGCGCGAAAGGUCAGAAAGUUCCGCAUUUGUAGUCGUUGUGGACUAUUUAGGAACAACAAGAAAACCAAAAUUCGAAAAAAACCGAAUGGAAAAAUUAUUGUUUUUCGGAGACGUAAGUGGUAAGCCAAUAUGUCUCAUAUAUGUCAUGCCUCACAUUAUGGUGGUCAGAGUUUGACCACAAUUAAAUAUGGCACCUACAACAUCCCAUAAUGGACGCACUCGUACUUAUAUAAUAUCGGAGGCAUGAUGUAACAACUUUAUACGGGAUGUGAGGUGCAGAUAUGGAAUCGGAAACGAACAUAAGGCAUCAACGAAAGUAUUCAAUCCUGAGGUUGAGAAAACAUUUUCUUGGUAUAUCUGCUGUUUGUUCAGUUACUGUGUAUCGAAGUUGCAUUGUCAUGGACGUACUAUCGUUUCCUUUGGUGUACCGUUUUCUAUACACCUUUAGACACGAUAUCUGGUUUCCGUGUUGUCUUAAGUUUAAUUAAUUUUUCCUUGGACGUGGCUCUGGGUACAUUUUUUCUGGUCAUUCUUUUCGUUAUUAACUAACCAGUUUCAACCGUUAGCUGGGCACCCAGUUUUUGGAGUUUUACCAUUAGGACGGACGUUGCUUAUACACUCUGAUGUACCAUCAUUGUUUGUUCCUUCUUGUUCUAAGCGUGGUUGCUUGGCUGUUCUCUUAGUACACCUAAUGAUCACUUUGCUGUCCUCACACAACUCACCCAACAUGGGUAGAUUUGGGUUGGUUGUCCACUUAUUUGUGUUUAAAUUAAAAGCCAGUUGGAUUUUGUUAAUAUCUUUCCCGAAACGUUGUUUGGCAACUUUAUCAUUUUACUGUAAAAUCGUAUUGUUCUUGAAGUACAAGAAUGGAUUUUUAAAGAGACCUAUCAUUAUUUUAGGAUAAUAAAAAUGAUUAAAUUUGGAAAAAUUAUUUUCUUCUACUAUUGACUGGAACUCAUCAUGUAAAAAAAAA